CGCUGGCGGCGUGCUUAACACAUGCAAGUCGAGCGAGGAACUUCGGUUCCUAGCGGCGAACGGGUGAGUAACACGUGGGCAACCUGCCCCGAGCUCUGGGAUAACUUCGGGAAACCGGGGCUAAUACCGGAUAUGACACUACUGGACAUCUGGUGGUGUGGAAAGAUUUAUCGGCUUGGGAUGGGCCCGCGGCCUAUCAGCUUGUUGGUGGGGUAACGGCCUACCAAGGCGACGACGGGUAGCCGGCCUGAGAGGGCGAUCGGCCACACUGGGACUGAGACACGGCCCAGACUCCUACGGGAGGCAGCAGUGGGGAAUAUUGCGCAAUGGGCGGAAGCCUGACGCAGCGACGCCGCGUGGGGGAUGAAGG
rnacentral:rRNA from 1 species